rnacentral:lncRNA from 1 species
AGCUUUUCAAAAAAUAAUUUUCAUAUUUGUAAAACAAUUUUACAAUAUGAUUCUACCAACCAUAUUGCAUGUUUGAUUCAUAAUCAAGAUACAAGUGAAAUAAAUAUGAAACUACUUUAGAUCUAAUCUAAACAGGUUCAUGUAAUUGAAAUAAUUUCAACUUUAAACAAUUUUUUUGCACAAAAAUUAUUAACAAAAAGAUUUUAUUUCAGAUUUAAACAUCUUUUAAAUCUAAUAAAUCAUAAAUUUAAUCUAGAUCAUAUCUAACAAAUUUUUGAUUAAAGAUAGAUCUACACAAACUAGGACAACCUUUGCACUGUAAGGGGUAAACCUUACAGCAGGACAACCUUGCAGUUCGUGAUUGAUCUAAAAUUUUAAUUUUAGAUUUAAUAAUUAGAUUAUAAAUUAAAUCUAAUCUAAAAAAUAAUCUAAGCAUGUAUAAAUAAUCAUGUAAUAAAGAACCUAGGCUCUGAUACCAAUUGUAGGAACCAGAUCUAGGGUUUCAGGGUUAGAUCUUGAAACUUUUUCAAGAUCAUACAGCGGAA